AUAGAACGCUAGCGGGAUGCUUUACACAUGCAAGUCGAACGAGUGGCGCACGGGUGUGUAAUAUAGCGGACCGUGCCCAGAAGCGGGGGAUAACUGCGCGAAAGAGUGGCUAAUACCGCAUACUAGUGGAGAGGCCAAUAUCGGAUUAGCUAGUUGGUGGGGUAAAGGCUCACCAAGGCAACGAUCCGUAGCGGGGUUGAGAGGACGACCAGCCAAACUGGAACUGAGACACGGCCCAGACUCCGACGGUAGGCAGCAGUGGGGAAUUUUGGACAAUGGGGGAAACCCUGAUCCAGCCAUCCCGCGUGUAUGAGAAGGCCUUCGGGUUGUAAAGUACUUUUGGCAGAGAAGCGGUAUCUGCAGAAUAAGCACCGGCUAACUACGUGCCAGCAGCCGCGGUAAUUC
rnacentral:rRNA from 1 species